AAAGCAGCAAGUUGUUAGAUGUGAAGCAAAAAUGAGCAAAACUUGAUUCUUCUUCUUUUUUCCAGGUGACUUUGCCAACUACCAAUUUCUAUAUACUCAGGAAGGAAGUGAGCAGAAACAUCCUGCUGAGAAAACCUGGAGCUAACACAUGAUCUAUUUCAAAUAGAUCUGUGACACGCUUUUGAUAGAGAGGACUCUUGAACUUACCAUAGCCACACCAGCCUUCAGCAACCACCACUCUGAUCAGUCAGCAGCCGUCAACAUUGAGGCAAGACCUUCCACCAACAAAAAGGUUCCAACCUGGAAUUUUUUUUAGCAAUAAGAGAACUCACUAGAACUGGAUGCAUUGAUAACUCAAGAACAUCCUCAAGUAGAAUUUGUUACUUGUAAGUUAGGAAUAUAUUAGGCUCCAAAUACCAACAACAAAACCUUGGAUCAUCGCAGUUUAAAAGGGAGGAUCAUUCACUUACUUAUGUCCGUCCAUACUCUCAAAGAUGAAGAUAUAUUCUCUUCACUACUGCACUAUGCUGUGGAGGCGCCAUGUUGCUUCACAUCCACAAGAGAGCUGAAAAAGGAAAGAAGAGCUAUGACCCCCACGUGUAAUAUAUCAAAGUGUAAUUGCUUUGGUUUAUUUGUUGAGAUUCCAUGAAUGUUUUAUUUGAUAAAAUAUUAUAGAAAAUUGUUUUAAGAAACCCUAGGCAAAAAGCUUUCUUAGAUCUUUUCCAUCAACAACAUCUUCAAUAGGCUAUGCUUUAGUAUAUUAAUUAGAGGAAAAACAAAGCUGCAUCUCUCUCACAAAUAUAAAGCUUUAGCUUAUUCUAAUUUUGUUUGACAUGAAUCCAUCCCAGGAAACAAUAGAACUGUAUCAUAUGUCAUUUGUACAUGACUUCACUUAUUUUUAGAAAUUUAUUGUUACAAGUGUCAGUGGAUUCUGAGGUAAAUUCUAUAAUUGCAAUAGAAUGUAAGAUUAAUUUCCAUACCUAGAGGAGAGAAAGAAAUAUCCAAAGGAAUAGAGUCGAUUCCACCAAACAUAGGUAAAAUGGUUAAGAUGUCCAAGGCUUCAUAGAUAUGUGAUUAUAUAAUACAUGUGCCAAGAAUGGAAAAAAUAUAUUCAUAUAUAAGACUAGAACCCAUAAAAUUAGCAAAAUAUCUAAUAUAACACAAAAUAUAAGAAUGAGAGAACUUAGAUUGGGAGCAAAUAAAGACAUACUUUAUGCAAAUAGGUAGAAAAUUAAGUCAAAAUGAAAGUCUUUAAGCACUGAAAUAUUAUAGAAGUGAUAGAAGUCCAAACUCUCCAUAAGCUUAUAAUAGACCUGUAACAGACAACAAAGGGAUUUUUUUUUUUUUUACAUUACUCUAAAAAUGUUAAUUCAUAGUAUAUGUUGUUAGUUACUGGUCUCUUCUAGAAAAAUUCCUUUGUACUAUUGUCUCCCACUCUAAAAAGCCUAUUGUGGUUAAGAGACACAAG